CUUCCCAUUUGACUGCAUUUUCUCCUGGUGGCAGAUCUUAGUGGCUGUGCUUACGGGACAGAGUGAGGUGGCUGUGAACUGAAGAGGGAGGGUCUGUCCAUGUCCCCUUCCUCCAUGAAGUGGCUGCACGGGGCACU